GGUAUCCUGUCUGAAUAUGGGGGGACCAUCCUCCAAGGCUAAAUACUCCUGACUGACCGAUAGUGAACCAGUACCGUGAGGGAAAGGCGAAAAGAACCCCGGCGAGGGGAGUGAAAAAGAACCUGAAACCGUGUACGUACAAGCAGUGGGAGCACGCUUAGGCGUGUGACUGCGUACCUUUUGUAUAAUGGGUCAGCGACUUAUAUUCUGUAGCAAGGUUAACCGAAUAGGGGAGCCGAAGGGAAACCGAGUCUUAACUGGGCGUUAAGUUGCAGGGUAUAGACCCGAAACCCGGUGAUCUAGCCAUGGGCAGGUUGAAGGUUGGGUAACACUAACUGGAGGACCGAACCGACUAAUGUUGAAAAAUUAGCGGAUGACUUGUGGCUGGGGGUGAAAGGCCAAUCAAACCGGGAGAUAGCUGGUUCUCCCCGAAAGCUAUUUAGGUAGCGCCUCGUGAAUUCAUCUCCGGGGGUAGAGCACUGUUUCGGCAAGGGGGUCAUCCCGACUUACCAACCCGAUGCAAACUGCGAAUACCGGAGAAUGUUAUCACGGGAGACACACGGCGGGUGCUAACGUCCGUCGUGAAGAGGGAAACAACCCAGACCGCCAGCUAAGGUCCCAAAGUCAUGGUUAAGUGGGAAACGAUGUGGGAAGGCCCAGACAGCCAGGAUGUUGGCUUAGAAGCAGCCAUCAUUUAAAGAAAGCGUAAUAGCUCACUGGUCGAGUCGGCCUGCGCGGAAGAUGUAACGGGGCUAAACCAUGCACCGAAGCUGCGGCAGCGACGCUGAUGCGUUGUUGGGUA
rnacentral:rRNA from 1 species